rnacentral:rRNA from 1 species
AAGACCUUGCGCUUUUGGAGCGGCCGAUGUCUGAUUAGCUUGUUGGUAAGGUAAAAGCUUACCAAGGCUUCGAUCAGUAGCUGGUCUGAGAGGACGGCCAGCCACACUGGGACUGAGACACGGCCCAGACUCCUACGGGAGGCAGCAGUGGGGAAUUUUGGACAAUGGGGGCAACCCUGAUCCAGCCAUGCCGCGUGAGUGAAGAAGGCCUUCGGGUUGUAAAGCUCUUUCAGCCGGAACGAAACGGUUACGGUUAAUACCCGUGACUACUGACGGUACCGGAAGAAGAAGCACCGGCUAACUACGUGCCAGCAGCCGCGGUAAUACGUAGGGUGCAAGCGCUAAUCGGAAUUACUGGGCGUAAAGCGUGCGCAGGUGGUUUUGUAAGUCAGAUGUGAAAUCCCCGGGCUUAACCUGGGAACU